UAUUUGAUCAUAUUACUACAUGGAUAACCGUGGUAAUUCUAGAGCUAAUACAUGCGUAAGUAUUUAUUAGAUACAGCCAAAUUAAAGGUGAUUCAUAAUAACUUUCGAAUCGCGUAAGCGAUGGUUCAUUCAAAUUUCUGCCCUAUCAACUUUUGAUGGUAGGAUAGAGGCCUACCAUGGUUUUUACGGGUAACGGGGAAUAAGGGUUCUAUUCCGGAGAGGGAGCCUGAGAAACGGCUACCACAUCCAAGGAAGGCAGCAGGCGCGCAAAUUACCCAAUCCCGACACGGGGAGGUAGUGACAAUACAUAACGAUCCAGGGCCUUUGGUCUUGAAAUUGGAAUGAGUACAAUUUAAAUCCCAUAACGAGGAACAAUUGGAGGGCAAGUCUGGUGCCAGCAGCCGCGGUAAUUCCAGCUCCAAUAGCGUAUAUUAAAGUUGUUGCAGUUAAAAAGCUCGUAGUUGAUUCUGGAAUUCGGGGGAUCUUCGUAAAGAAGAUACUUCGAAUUCAAUCGCAUUCGCGAAAUUACUUUGAAAAAGUCAAAUCGCUCAACGAAGUCAAUGAAUACAUUAGCAUGGAAUAAUAGAACAUGUCGUUUUACUUGGUCCUAAAACGAAAUGAUUAAUAGGGACAGUCGGGGACAUUUGUAUUGGGCCGUCAGAGGUGAAAUUCUUGGAUUGGCUCAAGACAAACUACUGCGAAAGCAUUUGUCAAGGAUGUUUUCAUUAAUCAAGAACGAAAGUUAGAGGAUCGAAGAUGAUCAGAUACCGUCGUAGUCUUAACCAUAAACUAUGCCGACAGAGUAUAUUUUCUAUUGUAUAGAAGAUGAAUUCAAGAGAAAUCAGUUUUUGGGUUCUGGGGGGAGUAUGGUCGCAAGGCUGAAACUUAAAGGAAUUGACGGAAGGGCACCACCAGGAGUGGAGCCUGCGGCUUAAUUUGACUCAACACGGGGAAACUCACCAGGUCCAGACACAAUAAGGAUUGACAGAUUGAUAGCUCUUUCUUGAUUUUGUGGUUGGUGGUGCAUGGCCGUUCUUAGUUGGUGGAGUGAUUUGUCUGCUUUAUUGCGAUA
rnacentral:rRNA from 1 species